AGAAUCAACGCUGGCGGCGUGCCUAACACAUGCAAGUCGCACGAGAAAGGGUAGCAAUACCUGAGUACAGUGGCGCACGGGUGAGUAACACGUGAAUAAUCUACCUCCGAGUGGGGAAUAACUGAGAGAAAUCUUAGCUAAUACCGCAUAACACUUACGAGUCAAAGCAGCAAUGCGCUUGGAGAGGAGUUCGCGGCCGAUUAGUUAGUUGGCGGGGUAAUGGCCCACAAGACGAUGAUCGGUA
rnacentral:rRNA from 1 species